rnacentral:lncRNA from 1 species
CCCCUUCCACACUGUGGAAGUUUUGUUCUUUCACUCUUUGCAAUAAAUCUUGCUGCUGCACACUCUUUGGGUCCACACUGCUUUUAUGAGCUGUAACACUCACCGCGAAGGUCCGCAGCUUCACUCCUGAAGCCAGCGAGACCACGAGCCCACCGGGAGGAACGAAUGACUCCAGAGGCGCCGCCUUAAGAGCUGUAACACUCACUGCCAAGGUCUGCAGCUUCACUGCUAAGCCAGCGAGACCACAAACCCACCAGAAGGAAGAAACUCCGAACACAUCUGAACAUCAGAAGGAACAAACUACAGACGCGCCACCUUAAGAGUUGUAACACUCACCGCGAGGGUCUGCAGCUUCAUUCUGGAAGUCAGUGAGGCCAAGAACCCACCAAUUCCGGACACACUGUUGCUUAAGAUAAGAACUACGGUUUGAGUGAAUUAGCUAAAUUACAGCAGCAAUGGCCAGGAGUAACUGACAAGCCCCAAGUGGCCAUGUGGAGGGAGGUGGAGGAGAUGCCGGGCAACCCUCGCACACAGCUGUCAGCACGUCCCAGCCAUCACUAAUCUGUAACCCACCUGCUGACCCAGUGCUGGGAUUUUCCUCAGGAGAAACAAUCAUCAUGUGAUUUGAAUCAAACUAUUUAAAAUAUGUAUUGUUUUAAACCAGGGAGAGAGCGGGAAACCAACCCACCACAAACAAUCCACUGCACUAGACUCAUUUUGAGACAAGAUGUUUAUGUAAACUCCCAGGUCAAGAUGCUAACUCCUAGUGAAUUAACCUACGAUGUCACCUAGCCCCUCAUAUUGAUUAGUCAUUAUUUUUACCCAGCGAAAUGAGAAUAUGGGUCCAGAGGCCAUGCACUUUCAUACCCUGAGAAAAGUCAAGUGUCCUCUUAUUCUCAAAUACUUUCAGGACCGCUAUUAGCUUCAGAGCAUUGUGAAAAAGAUGUUUUCAAAUGACAACUGAAAUGGACAUUUCAAAUUGGCUCUUGUCUCUGAACCAGAUAACAGAUUUAGAACAACAAUCCGUGAAGGUGCAUUUUGAAUUUAGUGCCAGAUAGCUUGAUAAUGCUAUUAGACAGUUAAAUACCACAAGUAUAGAUUCUAAUAUACCAUCCUGAAUGAAUGGACAUAUUUUAUUUCUUUGUUUUUUCUAUUGAGUUUAAGACUGAUGAGGUAGGUGAAAACAAGCCUUUCAGAAAUAAAGACUAAUAUGUUUAGAGAAGAAAGUCUUCCAGUACCUUAUUAACACAUUGCCCUAUACCCCUAGAUGAUCAGUUUGUAUUUUGAAGUGCUUGGUGUCACUCUUAAAGUUUUGCAAGUCAGCUUUAGAAAUAGCACCUGUUUUGCAUACUGAUCAUAUAUAUUAACUUAGUAUACUUGCAAGGAAACUUAAUACUAUCCAAAAAAGAGGGUUUAAAUGUUUUGCUUUACUUUCAAACAUGGGUUGGUUAGGCUAUAGCAAACAUAAUCUAGGAUAUAGAAUGUGUCCAACAGUACCAUACCAUUAUACCUUCAUGUAGCAUCAUUAUCAGAUCUACGAGCAAUUCCUCAUCGUCUACAGUCAUACACAUAGAGCUGGCACCUGCAGGGCUAUGGGCUUUAUAUUUCUACAUACACACACUGGAAUGCGAAUAUUGCCUGUAUUUGUGUGUACAGAAAUUCCUUGUUCACCCAAAUUGUCUUUGUGAAACAGGCUUGCCUAUUUAAAAUACAGUUAAGAGCCCAAACAUAUGCCACUAGACAGCAAGUUACAUAAGUUUAGGGACUUUGCCUUACUGUCCUUUGCUGCAUUUCUUUAACCCAGAAUAGUGUCUGGUAUGUGAUAGGAAAUUGCUAAAUAUUUGUUUUAUGAAUGACUGUUACAUUGCAUAUGUACAAAAGGUCAUGCAAUUUUCUCAUAGGAGAGUUCCCCAGGCCCAAAUCUGGAGACUGCUUGUCUUAUGUAAGAUUCUAACAAGUUUAGUUAUCUUGUUUCCUAGGCCACCAAAAAUAAAAAGCAGCAAAUUACAGGGACAUGGGGGAGUACUGCUAGAAGCAGGCAUACUCAACAUAAUGAAAAAUGCAAGCUAACAUUCUAUAAACUGGAAAAGAGAGAAAAACUAUAAAAUUUAGCUACAAGUCCUCAAAGAAAACACAAAAAAGUUUGUUUAUAUAACAUUUGAUUACCUCAAUGUUCCAGUAUACAUAUAAUGUCUAUAUAUCUCCAAACAAAACUUCUGUUUACUUUUGACAUGCUUCUCAAUGUUCUAUAAAUGGAAUCAUAUUGUACAAAGUCUUCUGAGACUGGUUUUUAU